GAAAAUAUGGUAAGCUAUGUUAACAAGCCAUAUUAGAUAUCAAGCAUUAAUAUGGAAAUAAACCAGGUAACUCCUGUGUAAUUGAUCUUUGUGGGGACUUGGAGGAGGGAAGGUGAACCUAAACUUUAGCGUGUGCUAAACUUAAUUAAUGGUUAACUAAAUUCAUUCAAAAAUAUCUGUAACUUGUGGUCUGAUAGUGCUGGUUUUUGGAUAUGAAUUUGUCAUUAAGACUACCUGGGCUGACUCUCUUUUCGGACUCAGCCCACCUGCACCCAGGUGAAAUAAACAGCUUUAUUGCUCACACAAAGCCUGUUUGGUGGUCUCUUCACACGGACGCGCAUGAAAUUUGGUGCCGUGACGCGGAUCGGGGGACCUCCCUUGGGAGAUCAAUCCCCUGUCCUCCUGCUCUUUGCUCCAUGAGAAAGAUCCACCUAUGGCCUCAGUUCCUCAGACCGACCAGCCCAAGAAACAUCUCACCAAUUUCAAAUGCUACAAAUCCUGCCCUGAUUCUGGGGACCAUGCCUGUGGAGAUGCACAGUUCUACCAUUCAAAGUGACUAUCUGAAAAUACCUCCU
rnacentral:antisense_RNA from 1 species